CAGAUGAGAGUUAACACGUUCUGGAGAAGCCAGAGAGAGCUUAUGAGCAUAAAUAUACAGAUCAAGGAGCAAGUAAAUAUGUCAGAGACAGGUGGCAUCAUCUCCGAAACAGAAACAACACACCUUUUUGAUGAUUAUUUCUAGUGCCAAACGAAUUUCAUGCACCUCGGAUUUCAGACCAGCCACGUUCCAAGUGCUUAGGCGUCACAUGUGGCCACUGGCUAUUGUAUUAGAAAUUGAACAGAGGACCCAGCAAGGAGGCAGUCUGCAGCCCAGAGAACCUUCACCAGAAUGCGACCGUGCCGGUGCCAGACUCUUGGACCUCCAGCCUCCAAAAUUGGAUGAAAUAAAUUCCUGUCGGUUACAAGCCCCCCAGUUUUUGUUUUUUUGUUAUAGCAGCCCAAGUGGACUAAGACACCUGGCAAAGGGAAAAAGAAAAGAAUACUAAUACUAAUAGGGCAUCUACAACUGUGAAGCAGACACUUCCAAGAAGAUUAUUUAAUCCUUAUAACCCUGUGAGCGGAUCUCACUGCUGUUUCGCAGAAUAGUCGAAAGGCAGGAAGGUCAAGUUGGUCCACCAGCUUCAGUGGUACUGAAUCAACAGUAGGUACUAAGUUGCAUGUGAAGCAACUAAUUCCAAGACCCCCUCUUUCUACUGUAUUAUCUUGUCUGAGCUGUCUUACUUAACUCUAAGUCAAAUGUCCCUUCCACUAAAACUGGGCACGAGCUCCCUUACUCACCUGUUG